CGCGCGCCUGCGCGAUUUCGAGACGCGCUACAAGGAAGAGCGCGAGCUGGAGAGGAACGGCUGAGUCAGCCGUGCGACGCGGCGCGCGCGGC
rnacentral:tRNA from 2 species